UGGCGUAGAGUUGCAGAAGGUUGCUCAGAAGCCCCUUUGCCAUGCAGGCUCUAUGACACUCGUAAGCGUGUGCGCACGGAGGACCAAAAGCGAGAGGCCUCACAGACACUAGCAGUCAGGUUACAAGAAGCAGGUUGCAGUACUAGUCUUGUGGAUGUUCUCGGUUCAGCCUCAAGUUGUUCAUUAUACUGCACUGGUUUCCCUUGGGAGACUUCAUGCUGUACAAUCUGGUCCCAUACCAAUCUUCACCUUAUUUAAGGAUGAACCACAGUGGACGCCUCCUCAAGAUGUGGCUCACGUCUCGACUCUGAAGAACAUAUGUUUGUCAGAAGAAGAGGCAAGGGAUAUGGAAAGGGACACCAG